UACGUAGGGGGCAAGCGUUGUCCGGAUUUAUUGGGCGUAAAGAGCGUGUAGGCGGUUAUGCAGGUCCGCUGUGAAAACUGGAGGCUUAACCUCCAGACGUCGGUGGAAACCGUAUGACUAGAGUCCGGAAGAGGAGAGUGGAAUUCCUGGUGUAGCGGUGAAAUGCGCAGAUAUCAGGAAGAACACCCGUGGCGAAGGCGGCUCUCUGGGGACGGUACUGACGCUGAGACGCGAAAGCGUGGGGGAGCGAACAGG
rnacentral:rRNA from 1 species